UGUAUGUAUCUUUUUAUCUGAUGAUGAAAAAAAUCCCAAAGAAUAAGAAUGGAGACAGACUACUGUCCUAUAGGGUUAAAAAAACCCAGAAGUGUCCUAUGAAGAGCUGAGACUUGGUUCUGUCCAUGUGUCUCAGAGAUUGGAUGAGGAAAUGGCCUGGCUUGGCCCUGACUUUACCCACUUGUUACUCUUGAAGGUGUCUUUGCCACAAUGUGAAUAAACUGCUACCUUUUG